rnacentral:tRNA from 1 species
CAGAAAAUAGUUUAUUGGAAAAUACCGGCUUUGGGAGCCGGAGAUGAAGGUUUGAGCCCUUUUUUUCUGA